rnacentral:rRNA from 1 species
UACGGAGGGGGCAAGCGUUGUUCGGAGUUACUGGGCGUAAAGGGCGCGUAGGCGGUGCAACAAGUCAGGCGUGAAAGCCCCGGGCUUAACCUGGGAAUUGCGCUUGAUACUGUUGCGCUAGAGAUCGGGAGAGGAUAGCGGAAUUCCCAGUGUAGAGGUGAAAUUCGUAGAUAUUGGGAAGAACACCGGUGGCGAAGGCGGCUAUCUGGACCGACAUUGACGCUGAGGCGCGAAAGCGUGGGGAGCAAACAGG